AUUGAACGCUGGCGGCAUGCCUUACACAUGCAAGUCGAACGGCAGCGCGGGAGCAAUCCUGGCGGCGAGUGGCGAACGGGUGAGUAAUAUAUCGGAACGUGCCCAGUAGUGGGGGAUAGCCCGGCGAAAGCCGGAUUAAUACCGCAUGAGACCUGAGGGUGAAAGCGGGGGAUCGCAAGACCUCGCGCUAUUGGAGCGGCCGAUAUCAGAUUAGCUAGUUGGUGGGGUAAAGGCCUACCAAGGCAACGAUCUGUAGUUGGUCUGAGAGGACGACCAGCCACACUGGGACUGAGACACGGCCCAGACUCCUACGGGAGGCAGCAGUGGGGAAUUUUGGACAAUGGGGGCAACCCUGAUCCAGCCAUGCCGCGUGAGUGAAGAAGGCCCUCGGGUUGUAAAGCUCUUUUGUCCGGAAGAAAAGCAAUCGGUUAAUACCCGGUUGUUCUGACGGUACCGGAAGAAUAAGCACCGGCUAACUUCGUGCCAGCAGCCGC
rnacentral:rRNA from 1 species